CCCUCUUCUUCCUCUGAGGUCUUCAUGUCUGGGUGUGGUACUAUACUUGCUCCAUUCUACACACGGGGUAACAGACUCUGAGAGAAUAAGAAACUUGCCAGUGGUAGCAAGUGGCAGAACCUGUAUUUGAACGAGGUCAAAAGGGCUCAAACCCAUAGUUUUUACCACCACUUACAUUGCCUCUCAUAAUAAUAAUAGUGCUCUAUCAUACAUUUUGCAAAGCACUUUGUUGUUUAUAAAAGAAUUUACAUACUGUGUCAUAUCAUCACAAGAGCACUACGAGGUGGCUGUUAUUACCCUGACUUGUUCUGUGGGGCAACAGAUGUUCACGAGGUCCACACAGCUCAUAAGUAGCUAUAUUGAGGCUUGAACUCAAAGGCUUCCAAGUCCUCUCCCCAUUCUACCACCCCGAUACGUGGCUUUAGAUGUCCUCCUGGAAGCAGGACGUAGCCAGAAGACAGGGGAAGAGAGAGCACACAGAAUUACACAGGAAGUUUUCAUGGGCCGAACCCAGAAGUGACGUACUUCACUUCUGCCCACACACCAAAGGCCAGAAUUCAGGGCCACACCCAACAGAUUUGGUGAACAGCUAACCAGUCUCUGCCACAUAUACGAUUGUGAUGCAAAAAUUGGAAAACAUAAACCUGGGAACUGGAUCUACGUUUUUGCCUUGGGGCAAGUCAGGCGGCUUUUAUGUCUGAGUGUUUGUGACUAUGAAACCACAAGCUCUCCAGGACCAGUUCAACCAACACCAUCUUAUCAACAGAGUAAUUAAGAGUUGUCUGUCAGGAACUGAGACCCCUUGUCCACUUCAGGUGGGUUGAGACCACCAACCGAUCAACUGGGCGUGUGCAAAUGCUGCAUAACUGACCUUUUUGACAUUGAGGAGCUAAAAACUUCACCCUCAGAUCAUGAGUUCCGGUAAGAUUCAUCUCCCCAGUGAAGCCUUUCCCAACCCAUCAUCAGAUACUUUUACAACUCCAGCUCUGACUUACCAUGUUUGCA
rnacentral:lncRNA from 1 species